rnacentral:rRNA from 1 species
CACGUGGGUAACCUGCCCAUCAGAAGGGGAUAACACUUGGAAACAGGUGCUAAUACCGUAUAACAAUCAAAACCGCAUGGUUUUGAUUUGAAAGGCGCUUUCGGGUGUCGCUGAUGGAUGGACCCGCGGUGCAUUAGCUAGUUGGUGAGGUAACGGCUCACCAAGGCCACGAUGCAUAGCCGACCUGAGAGGGUGAUCGGCCACAUUGGGACUGAGACACGGCCCAAACUCCUACGGGAGGCAGCAGUAGGGAAUCUUCGGCAAUGGACGAAAGUCUGACCGAGCAACGCCGCGUGAGUGAAGAAGGUUUUCGGAUCGUAAAACUCUGUUGUUAGAGAAGAACAAGGAUGAGAGUAACUGUUCAUCCCUUGACGGUAUCUAACCAGAAAGCCACGGCUAACUACGUGCCAGCAGCCGCGGUAAUACGUAGGUGGCAAGCGUUGUCCGGAUUUAUUGGGCGUAAAGCGAGCGCAGGCGGUUUCUUAAGUCUGAUGUGAAAGCCCCCGGCUCAACCGGGGAGGGUCAUUGGAAACUGGGAGACUUGAGUGCAGAAGAGGAGAGUGGAAUUCCAUGUGUAGCGGUGAAAUGCGUAGAUAUAUGGAGGAACACCAGUGGCGAAGGCGGCUCUCUGGUCUGUAACUGACGCUGAGGCUCGAAAGCGUGGGGAGCAAACAGGAUUAGAUACCCUGGUAGUCCACGCCGUAAACGA